UCCCCGUUACCGGGGCAGUCUGAAUAGAAAAAUACAACUAUUCACAAGGGUUGCGCUCGUUAAUGGACUUAACCAAACAUCUCACGACACGAGCUGACGACGGCCAUGCAUCAUCUGUCACCGAGUUCCUUGCGGCACUCAAUCCUUUCGAAUUAAUUCUCGGGAUGUCAAGCCUGGGUAAGGUUCUUCGCUUACCAUCGAAUUAAAAACACGCUCCACCGCUUGUGCGGGUCCCCGUCAAUUCCUUUGAGUUUUAGCCUUGCGGCCGUACUCCCCAGGCGGGGUGCUUAAUGCGUUAGCUGCGGCACGGAUCGCGUCGAUAGCGACCCACACCUAGCACCCAUCGUUUACGGCGUGGACUAC
rnacentral:misc_RNA from 1 species